GGAAGCUACACGCACUGGAGGGACAUGUUCUUCCUUGAAUAGAGAUCUGCCUCCUCCCUCCUUCGAACAAUGUUGUAAAAUAUCGCAUCUACAUGGAAACAUUGGGAGAGGUCCUUGGCCAAUACUUUUGGGAUUAGGUAUCAACAAUAUAAUUCCUAGUUUACCAUCUCAAGAAGAACAUAUCUGGAAAUCCUGAUCUGGUGCCUGGAAUUGAACAAAUGGGACAGAGUUAAAAACAGCCUGUCACAUCAUGUCCAAGUGCCCCAAACACUGCAUUCUUUAGCCAUGGAGGUCCACGGAGGACUGGGGCAGUCAGAGCCCAAAAUUUC